CGCCAAGUCUGGUGCCAUUCCGAGUCCCGCGGACGAACUUCGCCAACGCACCCCACCAAGGCUAUAGCCCACCGUUUUUUGGCCAUUUUUCCGCUGGGGGGUCUUGGGACCCCGAACUUCGGGGGCUGUUUUUUGGGCGCGGCUGUGCCCGUGGCCUAUUUUUGGCACACGGAGGCCGCCCGCCAAGUCUGGUGCCAUUCCGAGUCCCGCGGACGAACUUCGCCCACGCCCCCCACCAAGGCUAUAGCCCACCCUUUUUUUGGCCAUUUUUCCCCUGGGGGGUCUUGGGACCCCAAACUUCGGGG
rnacentral:lncRNA from 1 species